rnacentral:tRNA from 1 species
GCCCCCGUAGCCCAAUCGGCAGCAGGCAAGGUGCUUAAACCACCUACAGUGUGGGUUCGAGUCCCACCGGGGGCA